GCCUUAGUAGCUCAAUGGUAGAGCAGUCAGCUUUUAAUUGAUUGGUUAUAGGUUCGAAACCUAUCUAGGGCA
rnacentral:tRNA from 1 species